rnacentral:rRNA from 1 species
AUACGUAGGGGGCGAGCGUUGUCCGGAAUGAUUGGGCGUAAAGGGCGCGUAGGCGGCCCGGUAAGUCUGGAAUGAAAGUCCUGUUUUUAAGAUGGGAAUUGCUUUGGAUACUGUCGGGCUUGAGUGCAGGAGAGGUAAGUGGAAUUCCCAGUGUAGCGGUGAAAUGCGUAGAGAUUGGGAGGAACACCAGUGGCGAAGGCGACUUACUGGACUGUAACUGACGCUGAGGCGCGAAAGUGUGGGGAGCAAACAGGAUUAGAUAACCUGGUAGUCCACACUGUAAACGAUGAAUGCUAGGUGUAGGGGGUAUCGACCCCUUCUGUGCCGCAGUCAACACAAUAAGCAUUCCGCCUGGGGAGUACGGCCGCAAGGUUGAAACUCAAAUGAAUUGGCGGGG